UGCAAUUACCAUUAACCUCAACUCCACCCAUCAUUCCACUAUUAUUCCUAUUUCCAUCCAAUUAUUCCAGCAUUAUGCCUCAUAUGAGGAAGCCCCUAUUAUUCCUAAAUUAUGCUGACAAAUCAGUAGGCUCAUCCCUACUCGGAGAUCUAACGAAAAUUCAGAACCAUGGCUCAGAGACAGCCUAGACAGAGAUACAGUCCAUUGCCAACUUAUGCACCAUACCCAGCACAACAAGGCUACUCAAGAUGCUCACCACAGCUAGCACAACAACAAAAUUAUGCUCCAUUGCCUAAUACUGGCUAUGCUCCUAAUACUGGCUAUGCUCCUAAUACUGGCUAUGCUCCUAAUACUGGCUAUGCUCCACAGCCUGGUACUGCAUGGCUAUGCUCCACAGCCUGCAAGAUCUAGCCAGUUUGGUUACACUCCUCAGCAGGGAUAUGCUCCACAACCACCUUGCUACACUCCCCAGCCUGCUCCUCAGCCUGUUGGUUAUGCUCCACAGCAGGGAUAUGCUCCACAGCCUCAGCAACAAAAUAACAACAAUGUUGUAGUGGUUAAUACCGGGCAACCAAAGGCUGACUUUUCUAUGUCAUUGGCUCAGUGCUGCAGGAUUUCAUAGAGCUGAAGAAAUUUUGGCUAACUGUUUUGAUUUUUAUG